UGACUGAGCUCUAAUGGGAUACUCUUAAUACUUCAGUAACUAACUGCUUGUCUUUUGAUUUCUCCUAAACAGGAAGUUCCUUGAGGACCUUGAGGACCUUGAACUUAUCUCUGUUAACAUCUUCUCCCUAACUUCGUAUUCCGCAACACAAGCACGUGGAAGAUAAACUAACGUCAGCUCCAGCUCUGUCAGUUCUACCUCCUUAGAGUCUAAUCAGCUUCUUCCGGAUAGUUCUACCUUUAACGGACAAAUGAGAGGUAAAUUCCCACGUGUGGUGUAGCAGGACCAGAGAUCUACAAAAUAUUAAGUCUUUUGUGAGUAUAGUCGAACUUGGCACAGAUCUCUU
rnacentral:lncRNA from 1 species